GACGGGGGAUGCAAGUGUUAUCCGGAAUCACUGGGCGUAAAGCGUCUGCAGGUGGUUUCCUAAGUCCACUGUUAAACCUUGAGGCUCAACCUCAAAUCUGCAUUGGAAACUAGGAGACUUGAGUAUAGUAGGGGUAGAGGGAAUUUCCAGUGGAGCGGUGAAAUGCGUAGAUAUUGGAAAGAACACCGAUGGCGAAGGCACUCUACUGGGCUAUUACUGACACUCAGAGACGAAAGCUAGGGGGGCAAAUGGG
rnacentral:rRNA from 1 species